rnacentral:rRNA from 1 species
GUUUGAUUAUGGCGUCAGGAUGAACGCUGGCGGCGUGCUUAACACAUGCAAGUCGAACGAAGCAACUAUCUUGCUUGCAAGAGAGUUGACUUAGUGGCGGACGGGUGAGUAACGCGUGGGUAACCUGCCUCAUACAGGGGGAUAACAGUUGGAAACGACUGCUAAGACCGCAUAACCCGCUAGUGUCGCAUGACACGGACGGAAAAUAUUUAUAGGUAUGAGAUGGGCCCGCGUCUGAUUAGCUAGUUGGUAAGGUAACGGCUUACCAAGGCGACGAUCAGUAGCCGACUUGAGAGAGUGAUCGGCCACAUUGGGACUGAGACACGGCCCAAACUCCUACGGGAGGCAGCAGUGGGGAAUAUUGGACAAUGGGGGAAACCCUGAUCCAGCCGACGCCGCGUGAGUGAAGAAGUAUUUCGGUAUGUAAAGCUCUAUCAGCAGGGAAGAUAAUGACAGUACCUGACUAAGAAGCCCCGGCUAACUACGUGCCAGCCGCCGC